ACAUGUUCAUUAGAUGAUGACAUCUUUGUAUGUUCGUCGUGUAGGAUUUCCACAUCUCUUUUGUCUGUAUGUGUUUGUUGCAUCGAGUUUCAUGAGAGAUGAUAAUAGUCUUGGUAGCCUUCCAUUCAGAAGACAACCUUUUGCAUCUCUAUAUUCAGGAAAAAACAGUAAUUGAAUGAUCAGCGCCAACCACUUCUUGAAGCUAUGCUUCUUACAUAUUACCAUAGAAUAUGCGAAUAUACUCUUGGCCUUGUUGGUGAUUCACAACCAUAUAUACUAUUAUGGGCAGCUAGCAUUUUUCCAUAGAAAGAGCUAGGUGGAUUCUAAAAUUUUCAUAAUUUCUUUUAUCUUAAUAUCCACCACUAGUAAGAAUCAAAAUGAUGGA
rnacentral:lncRNA from 1 species